CAUAACUUUGAUUAUUAGUGACAUUUCUGUGUUGUGCACUCCUAAACUUUUUUUUUCAGAGAUAUUUUCUUUCACUCACGAUGCGGAGCAGGUGGGAAAUUGGUUUUAUCAAGAAAAACACCUAAAAUUUGAAUUAUGCAGUGCAGAAGCAGAGGUCCCUUUUAACAGGGAAACGUAAGAACGAGAUAUUCUUUCCCCUGGGAGAUUAUGUGCUUGAAGAGUCACCAAUACAUUAAGUGGGAUGAGAAGAGCUUUGUUAGGACACAUACCAGAGACAAGGGAGGAGUCCAACCUCAAUGCAGAGAGAGAUCAGUACGCACUUGGAAUUAUGACUUUGUUUCUGUUGUUAAAAGACUAAUUUUCCAGUCACUGUAGCCAUCCAGACUGAAUCCAGAUCAGAUGGUCACUGCAGUUCCCUGGAUCCAGUCCGUAUCCAGUCCAGAUGGUGGAUCAGCACCUAGAGAGGACCUCUACAGCCCUGAAUGUCAAGCGGAGACCAUGACAACUAGAUGAGCCCCAGAGACAGAUCCCCUGUGAACACCUUGUCAACUACACACCCAUCGGCAAAAGAUCUCUGCUCAAUCUGACUUUGUUGCAGCCUCGACACACUAUUUCCAUUUAAUACUGUAAAGCUGCAUUGAUACAAUCUGCAUUGUAAAAAACGCUAUAAAAAUAGAUGUGAAAUUAUCCUGUUUUUUAUGUUUUUGUUAUUUAGUUUUCCAGUUUUACUUUUGAAAUACUCCAAGUGUGAGUGGAUAUCUUGCUUGGCUGAAAACAAAGCAGAGACUGUUGUUAAAGCUGAUAAAUGUAAACAUUAUAAACCUUAAAACAUUAA